rnacentral:lncRNA from 1 species
UUGCAGAAGAUCUAUUUAGCUAAGACUCUUGUUGAGAUAUGUAUUUGCAACUCUAACUUGGAACUUCUAAUCUAAAGCAAAUUUUACCCUCUUCACUUUUUUUGAUAGGGUGUGGCAACACGAGAAAUCAAUAGAAAACAGAAUCUUUGAAGUUGACAGCAUCUCUGAUGAAAUCUUCAAGCUUUCCUGAAUGGUGCAUGCAACUAAUGAGCUCAAGCACUAGCAUUCAAGGAUUCUUUACCAUCUGGUCCUAACACCAACUGGAAAAAAAAACUUCUAAGAAGCCCAUUUAUUAUACUAAAGAGGUAUCAGCCACCUGCCAUGGUGUGGACGCCUGUCAGCAAGCCACGGCCCUACACAUCCACGCUACAUCUGAGCAUCCUCCAGCCUGCCCGGAAGGCGAUAUUCAGAAUCUCCGUGGAGAACCACUUCAGGGAUUGACACCUUGAAAUUCCAACCAACCACUGGAGUAAUCUGUCUAAACUGCACUUCCCAUCAGUGUGUGUUAAGGCUGUCAGAUAAGCAACAGCAAACCGAAUUAUCAGUUCUAGGGCAUCAUUAUGGCUAUUUCCUGUGUGCCUGUAAAGAUAAAUUGGAAGGAGCUGGACAAGAUAGUGAGAGUCUUUACUGAGAAGUGGAUCUGCUACUUGUGAAAGGAGAGGAGGAACAGAAGGAGAGUGAGUAGACAAAGUCUUAGGU